rnacentral:tRNA from 1 species
GGAAUAUAGCUUAGUUGGCAGAGUGCUUGUUUCCUAUUCAUUAGGCCUUGGGUUCAAUCCCCAGCACCA